rnacentral:rRNA from 1 species
AGCGAACGCUGGCGGCAGGCCUAACACAUGCAAGUCGAACGAACUCUUCGGAGUUAGUGGCGGACGGGUGAGUAACACGUGGGAACGUGCCUUUUGGCUCGGAAUAACUCAGGGAAACUUGUGCUAAUACCGAAUGUGCCCUUCGGGGGAAAGAUUUAUCGCCAUUAGAGCGGCCCGCGUCUGAUUAGCUAGUUGGUGAGGUAACGGCUCACCAAGGUGACGAUCAGUAGCUGGUCUGAGAGGAUGACCAGCCACACUGGGACUGAGACACGGCCCAGACUCCUACGGGAGGCAGCAGUGGGGAAUCUUGCGCAAUGGGCGAAAGCCUGACGCAGCCAUGCCGCGUGAAUGAUGAAGGUCUUAGGAGUGUAAAAUUCUUUCACCGGGGACGAUAAUGACGGUACCCGGAGAAGAAGCCCCGGCUAACUUCGUG